rnacentral:rRNA from 1 species
UGGGGAGCAAACAGGAUUAGAUACCCUGGUAGUCCACGCCGUAAACGAUGUCUACUUGGAGGUUGUGCCCUUGAGGCGUGGCUUCCGGAGCUAACGCGUUAAGUAGACCGCCUGGGGAGUACGGCCGCAAGGUUAAAACUCAAAUGAAUUGACGGGGGCCCGCACAAGCGGUGGAGCAUGUGGUUUAAUUCGAUGCAACGCGAAGAACCUUACCUGGUCUUGACAUCCACAGAAUUCUGCAGAGAUGCGGAAGUGCCUUCGGGAACUGUGAGACAGGUGCUGCAUGGCUGUCGUCAGCUCGUGUUGUGAAAUGUUGGGUUAAGUCCCGCAACGAGCGCAACCCUUAUCCUUUGUUGCCAGCGGUCCGGCCGGGAACUCAAAGGAGACUGCCAGUGAUAAACUGGAGGAAGGUGGGGAUGACGUCAAGUCAUCAUGGCCCUUACGACCAGGGCUACACACGUGCUACAAUGGCGCAUACAAAGAGAAGCGACCUCGCGAGAGCAAGCGGACCUCAUAAAGUGCGUCGUAGUCCGGAUUGGAGUCUGCAACUCGACUCCAUGAAGUCGGAAUCGCUAGUAAUCGUGGAUCAGAAUGCCACGGUGAAUACGUUCCCGGGCC